CAACAAAUGGCAAACUAGUUAGAGCAUUUAUACGGACUGCGUCAACAUGUUUUGAAUUUGUGUUGUUUCAUCACUAAUGACCAAGUCCAGCCUUGUGCCAACCACUUAGCUGGCCCUCCUGAUUAGCUUCUCCAGCUUGGAAUGGUCUGCCUUAGAGAUGCUUCCACCCCAGAACACCACAGCGUAUUACCGGACGCUGGCAACAACAGACUGGUAAAACAACCCUGGCAGCUUUCCACAGAUGUUAAAGGAUCUCAGCUUCCUCAGACCAAAGAAACACACAUCCAUAUUUGUCCUGAACCCCCUGGAUCUGCAUGAAAUGGUUCGUUCCUGCUUGGAGUGCUUGAACAGUGUCAGCAGUCAGUGGAACACAAGAACGACUGUGGCAGUUACUAUGCUUCCAAGAAAAAUUAUAACAUCAGGUUUUCAAAAAAUAGAGACAGAGAGAAAAAGA